rnacentral:rRNA from 1 species
UGUGAGGUAUGCUGGAGGUAUCAGAAGUGCGAAUGCUGACAUAAGUAACGAUAAAGCGGGUGAAAAGCCCGCUCGCCGGAAGACCAAGGGUUCCUGUCCAACGUUAAUCGGGGCAGGGUGAGUCGACCCCUAAGGCGAGGCCGAAAGGCGUAGUCGAUGGGAAACAGGUUAAUAUUCCUGUACUUGGUGUUACUGCGAAGGGGGGACGGAGAAGGCUAUGUUGGCCGGGCGACGGUUGUCCCGGUUUAAGCGUGUAGGCUGGUUUUCCAGGCAAAUCCGGAAAAUCAAGGCUGAGGCGUGAUGACGAGGCACUACGGUGCUGAAGCAACAAAUGCCCUGCUUCCAGGAAAAGCCUCUAAGCAUCAGGUAACAUCAAAUCGUACCCCAAACCGACACAGGUGGUCAGGUAGAGAAUACCAAGGCGCUUGAGAGAACUCGGGUGAAGGAACUAGGCAAAAUGGUGCCGUAACUUCGGGAGAAGGCACGCUGAUAUGUAG